rnacentral:tRNA from 2 species
GCGUUCAUAGCUCAGUUGGUUAGAGCACCACCUUGACAUGGUGGGGGUCGUUGGUUCGAGUCCAAUUGAUCGCACCA